CUCGUCCUGUGAAGUCAGAAUUGCUUUCACUCUCUCCUUGCGAUUUCAUAAACAUAACUUUGCAAGAGGAUCUCUACAAAAGCACCAAUACCGUGGGAGAGCAUGUGGACAGAAGUACAUGGCCCCUAGCGUGGUGUUUGCCCUCCUCGUACUUUGAAACAAAGGAAGCAGAAAUGAG
rnacentral:lncRNA from 1 species